AGUGAACGCUGGCGGUAGGCCUAACACAUGCAAGUCGAACGGCAGCACAGUAAGAGCUUGCUCUUACGGGUGGCGAGUGGCGGACGGGUGAGGAAUACAUCGGAAUCUACUUUUUCGUGGGGGAUAACGUAGGGACACUUACGCUAAUACCGCAUACGACCUACGGGUGAAAGCAGGGGAUCUUCGGACCUUUCGCGAUUGAAUGAGCCGAUGUCGGAUUAGCUAGUUGGCGGGGUAAGGGCCCACCAAGGCGACGAUCCGUAGCUGGUCUGAGAGGAUGAUCAGCCACACUGGAACUGAGACACGGUCCAGACUCCUACGGGAGGCAGCAGUAGGGAAUAUUGGACAAUGGGCGCAAGCCUGAUCCAGCCAUACCGCGUGGGUGAAGAAGGCCUUCGGGUUGUAAAGCCCUUUUGUUGGGAAAGAAAAGCAGCAGGUUAAUACCCCGCUGUUCUGACGGUACCCAAAGAAUAAGCACCGGCUAACUUCGUG
rnacentral:rRNA from 1 species